GGAAGUAAAAGCGUAACAAGGUCUCCGUAGGUGAACCUGCGGAGGGAUCAUUACAGAGUUCAUGCCCUCCGGGUAGAUCUCCCACCCAUUGCUAUAACUACUCUCGUUGCUCUGGCGGGCCGCUGGGCCCUGCCCGGCCGCCGGCCCCGGCUGGCGCGUGCCCGCCAGAGACCUCACAAACUCUGAAUGUUAGUGUCGUCCGAGUAACUAUACAAUCGUUAAAACUUUCAACAACGGAUCUCUUGGUUCUG
rnacentral:misc_RNA from 1 species